UCAGGAAAAUCGGAGAAAUCGGACGUUUUAUCAGGAAUUUUUCUUACGCGAAUCUCCUCGGCGGAGAGAGUCUUACUGCUUUUUGCCUACCGUGCCAUGAGUCGAGAAAAAUCAGGAAAAUAUCAGGAAUUUUCAAAAUGAAAAAAUCAGGAAUUUUUAUAAAAUAUCAGGAAAAAUCAGGAAAAUAUCAGGAUUUUUCAUAAUUACAAAAUACUAGACACCCUGGAUCAUUAUAAGUGUCUCUUCAAUGUUGGAGAUUCAAAUCAUCUGAUUUUAUGAGUACAGCAUAUUUUUCCCAAUUGUAUGUCAUGACAAUUUCAAUACAGCUGAAUAUAAGUCUUCUAGAAAAAAUCUCCUUUUUAAAAAUAUUUUUCAGCAAAUCUUAAAGUUUCAAUGUACUGUUUUCACUUUCAGAAAACGUAAAGAGGCUCUUGACAAGAAGGCAGAACUACAACGGCAACGAGAAGAAGAAGCAGAGCGCAAACGUGAAGAACUUCUAAAACAAGCAGAAAUGGAUAGAAUGAGGCGACCGGGUGAUGGACCCAGGCAAGAUCCACCUCCGAAACAGGUGUACCGUCCACCGCAGCGGAAAACAGGGCCACCUGAACCUGCCAGACCAGAACCCAGAGAAAAUAGACCGGAACCGCCUCCUCCCGGCAAGGAAAAUAAGGAUGUUAAAAUAUCUUCAGAAAAAUGGGUCCCAUCUUUCCGUCGGGGGAAGACCGAAGGUGCAUCUAAUGGUGGUCCACGCAACUAGUUUAAGUACUUCUUUACUUAUUUUUCUAUAUAAUAAAUUUUUGUCAAUUUCCGACAUUACUCCUUUUUCUUUUUCUACUCCGCUCAUUUCUCCUGUCUUUAAUUUUAUUGUUGACUUUUGUAGCAUGUCAUACGUUUAUGGUAAUGAAAUAUAGGUUUUUUAAACUUCUGUUUUGAGAACAUGAUUGUGUGCCCUUGGAAAGAAACUCAUGAAGAAAUAACAAUAGAAACAAGAAAGUGUUAUUUUACCUCAGGAGCUUGUUGCUAUCGAACUAGUGCACUAGACAAGGUAUGAGUUAAAGUACUGCGUAGCUUGUUCCCUCUCGAAAAUUUCACAAGGAAUAGGAAUCACACAAUGGGAAGGAAGUCUGGAUAUCAACCUUUAAACAAUAUAUAGGUGUCUAGAAUUAACAUAAGAUAAAUGGCAUAAAUACAACUGAUGUCAUUAGUAUGAUCUAACUUCGAUUUGAUCUGUGUUAAAGACUUUCGUUUACAUCUUGUUCAGGAGUUAAUUUCCGAGGUUACAGUUGUGUGAUUCGUUUUCUACGUGAGAUUUUGAAGAGGAAUCGUGACAUUUUCUCCUCGUUCAGACCUUGCCUAGUUUCCCAUAAAUGAAUUUUUCAGCUCUUCAACUUGCCUUUGCAUUUUUGUCUCUCGUCAGAAUGCAGACUUAAUGCUCGCACUACAGGACAAAUCAAACGAAGUGUAAACAGAGGAACUGUGUAAUUAUCAAAAGUACAACUGUGCAAUUUCUUUUUAUGGCUAACGUGGCAGUUGAAAAUAUAAUUUUUUAGAACUAAUAAUGCUUGGUCCCAGAUGAGCUUUCCCGCUAUUGCUCUGCUGUUACUUGAUACUGUUUUAUACGGAUGCAAGAUGAAGUCAUCAGAAAUUGAAGGUAGGCAACUGCAGCAAAAAUUAUAAGAUCGCAAAUGCUCUCUAUUGCUCACAUAGAAGUCAACACUUUGCAAACCAGCCAGGUCAAUUAUCGAAGUUUUUUUUUUUCCAUCGGAGUUAGGAGUGUGUGGUGAAUUGUGAUUACCCGAGCCGGAGGGACUGCAGCCAUUACCAUCGCCAGGGAUUGUUUUCACCACUUCAGUUUUCACCACUGGUGUUCCGACCGGAUGACAUCCAUUAUUGGUGAAUUCUCGUCUGCUAACAGUGGUUUCUCGCUGUUCCUCAACGCAAGUGUUAUUUUCAUCGCAAGUUGUUACAGUCUCACGGACGAGCAUCACCUGCCCUGCGUCCUCAUCUUCAUCCUCUGAGAAAACGAGUGGGGAACGUCGUUGCCGGCUAGGGGUUGUUGUAGGUUCUGGAGAGAAAACAAGCCGAGGUCUAGAACCAGGUGUUGGAGAUCUACAAGGUGGGCCUGCCUCUUCAUCUUCCGAGAAAACAAGUGGGGAACGUCGUCGCCAGCCAGUGGUUCCAGGUGUGAGAGAUCCACACGAUGGGCCUGCCUCUUCAUCCUCCGAGAAAACAAGUGGGGAACGUCGUCGCCAACUAGUGGUUCCAGGUGUGGGAGACCUACACGAUGGGCCUGCCUCUUCGUCAUCCGAAAAAACUAAGACUUUGCCUCUUCUUCUAGUACGCGGUAUGAAUGGUUCAGGUGAAAUUUCGAAUGGGGGAUGCAAGGAACUUGUUACAGGAGAUUCCGAGUCGGAUAAGUCAUGAAGAAGAUUUCUUCUCACUCUACCGGGAGGUAGAUUUUGAGGCGCGGUUGUAGGAGUCGAAGUACGCCGUGGAGGGCUGUCAACUGGAAGGUACUCAACCCUUCGGCGAACUCUCACAGCCCUAGUGCUUGAAUCCGGAGCGUGCAAAGGCGGAGAGUUAUAACUUCUCAUUGGAUUAACUCUGGCAGAUCCUUCAACAGAGAUGGGAGAAGGCAUGCUGCGGGAUGUUCGAGAAUGGUGUAUAGAGCUAGCCGGCUCAUAACCCUCGGGGUCUUCGUAUACUCUGAAGGGGGACUUUUCUGUCGUGGUGGUGAUGGUUCUGGAGAUGGCUCGUAAGUUACUUCUUCAUAGUAAAGUCUGGGGUAGUAACUCGCCUGGGAAACAGAGCGAAAUAAUGAAAUAUCAGGAUAGAAAAGAAGGGAAAAAUAGGAAGGCAGAAUUCAUUUAGAUAGGCAAAAGGGUGAUAUCUCUAAAGUCCAACAAAAAUAUUUCUCAAGGGAACUGUUGAAGGUCCAAAGUCUAUGUAAAAUGUGAAAAUUGACGGUUUGGGGGGGGGGGGGGGAGUAUUUCAAGUUGCUGUGAACAACUGAUAAAAUAAGACACACUUAACAAGUGAAUUUAUUGUAAGAUUCACAAUGAGAUUUUUAUCAUGGCCUGCCCUCUUUAAUUAUAUCCUCUCAUUUUACCCAAUUUUUUUCUAAUAAAGUGUUCAAUCGUAAUUCGUAAUUUUAAAGUUUGAUGAAAUCAUCCUUUACCUGUGGAGGGGGAUUACGAGAUUGAGAUUGCACAGGACGCCUCCAACGGUCCCAAUAAUCAUCUCUGGGUCGAUUUCUCUCGCACAUUUCUUCUUCUAAACCUGCGUCGAUGUCGUCGGGCAAAGAGGCCCAGCCACCCUCCUCAGGGAAGUUAGGAAUUUCCUCUAUACUUCUCACUGAUGAAGCAUCCGAUCUAUUUGAAUUUGAACUUCUAGCAGACGAACGAGACCUAGCAGAUGCUGCUGAUGAACCUGGUGUAAAGCAGCUACGGCAACUUUCAUAAGUUGAGCUUGAUCUCGGAGACCCUGAGUAAGAAGAUGCAGGUGUGCCUGGAGGAGAGCAUCUGUUAGGGCAUUCUCCUGAAGAUGAACCUGAUGCGAUUCUCUCAGGUGAUAGAGAACCUGAGCCAGGAGAUUGGCAACCUGAUGAGGGUGAAGAGUAAGAUGACUCUCUUGAACAUGAGCUCUCACCUGAAGCCGUGCUUUUACCAGGUGAAAAUGCUCCGCAGUUCGAGCAAUUUGCAGGUGGCUGGGUGUCCGGAUAUCUAAGUGUAAAUUUCUCGUUUGGAAACUGACAGAAUCCGGGCUCACAUUUUGAAGGUGAUGGAUCCUCAGCCGACUCAUGGCCUGAGUCCGAUUUUGUGCCGUCUUUUCUCUCGGGGGUUUGUUUUUAUCAGAAUUCGAAGCACCUCCUGCUUCACAUUCCUUGCAUUUCCCGUGUCGCUCUGUUUUCCUCCUUUGUCAUGACAGUCGGCCCUUGACGUUUUUUUUAUUAGCACCACAGGAGAAUUCAGUGUGUACUCAGGUCUCAUCGAGCGAUUGAUAAUUUGAUCAACUGUCUCCUGCAUUGUGUAAGGAUCUAUUUCAUCGUCACUAAUUAUUGUUACAGAGGUUGCCUCUGCAGGUGAAUCCGCGAGUUUAAACUUUUUCGCUCCUCUUACCAAACUUGCUAGAUCCCAGAGGCUGAAGUUUUUGAAGGCAUUUCUUAUUAGACAGCAAAUUGAGACAAGAUAGGACGUAGAACUGUUAGUUUUGUCCUUUAAAAAUGUUAUGUGUGGUGUUUCAGCUAUGUCAUAGUUCUCAAGUUUUACCAUCAGCAUUAUGUCAGGACCUCUUACGCCCAGUAGACGGGGAAAAUCCAAUGUUUCAGCCUGCGAACAUACAUCACAUUUUAUUUGCGACGAUUCAAUAGGAACAAGUCUUUAGGUGUUUCAUUCGUGGAGGGACUCUAAUAUUUUUCUAGAUUUCGUCGAGCAAUCAAAUUCUGUUCAUUGACCAGAAUAAUGAAUGUUUCUUGCAAUUUCUUGUCUUCAGCACUGGUGGGAAAACACAUACCUUAGACUGAGGUGUACCAAAACUUCUUGUAUUUCAAUGCAUUAUUUGAAGGUCUUGGAGGACAAGACGCAU
rnacentral:lncRNA from 1 species